UACAGAGGUCCCAAGCGUUGUUCGGAUUCAUUGGGCGUAAAGGGUGCGUAGGCGGCGCGGUAAGUCGGGUGUGAAAUCUCGGGGCUUAACUCCGAAACUGCAUUCGAUACUGCCGUGCUUGAGGACUGGAGAGGAGACUGGAAUUUACGGUGUAGCGGUGAAAUGCGUAGAUAUCGUAAGGAAGACCAGUGGCGAAGGCGGGUCUCUGGACAGUUCCUGACGCUGAGACGCGAAAGCGUGGGGAGCAAACAGG
rnacentral:rRNA from 1 species